rnacentral:rRNA from 1 species
GUAGGGUCCGAGCGUUGUCCGGAAUUAUUGGGCGUAAAGGGCUCGUAGGCGGUUUGUCGCGUCGGGAGUGAAAACCGGGUGCUUAACACCUGGCUUGCUUUCGAUACGGGCAGACUGGAGGUAUGCAGGGGAGAACGGAAUUCCUGGUGUAGCGGUGAAAUGCGCAGAUAUCAGGAGGAACACCGGUGGCGAAGGCGGUUCUCUGGGCAUGACCUGACGCUGAGGAGCGAAAGUGUGGGGAGCGAACAGGAUUAGAUACCCUGGUAGUCCACACCGUAAACGUUGGGCGCUAGGUGUGGGAUCCAUUCCACGGGUUCCGUGCCGUAGCUAACGCAUUAAGCGCCCCGCCUGGGGAGUACGGCCGCAAGGCUAAA